rnacentral:rRNA from 1 species
GUGAAAUCCCCGGGCUCAACCUGGGAACUGCAUCUGAUACUGGCAAGCUUGAGUCUCGUAGAGGGGGGUAGAAUUCCAGGUGUAGCGGUGAAAUGCGUAGAGAUCUGGAGGAAUACCGGUGGCGAAGGCGGCCCCCUGGACGAAGACUGACGCUCAGGUGCGAAAGCGUGGGGAGCAAACAGGAUUAGAUACCC